CAGAGCCGGGCUGGUUAGGCGCCUCAUUUGGGUUGAGGAUUAGUUAUGUUCGAAUCAUAAUGACCCGAAGUUUAUAUAAAACAAGCUAUAUGUUCAUUAACUACAUAUGAUUAUAUAGACUUGAUAAAUGUUAUGAUAAUAACAUUGGUAUAUUUAACAACAUUAGUAACAUAAUAUGUAAUGUGACAUAUUAUCGUUUAAACGAUAUCAAGUAUAAAAAGAAACUAUUACGGAUAUAUCGCUAUGUAUCAAAGAUAAUAAACGAAAGCAUUCUAGGAAAAAUCCAUUUUUUAAACGAAGUGAAUUGAAAUAUCUUAGUAGCUUUAGGAAAACAAAUCAAAAGAGAUUCUAUUGUUCAAUAAAAAAAUUGAAAUAGAAAAGCCUUUAAAGUAAAACGUAAUCUAUUAUGUUUGAAUAUAGGGAAACCUUUCUCUAAGGCUAAAUAUGAUGCAUAAGCAACAGUUAAAAGUACCGUGAGGGAAAUAUAUGAAAUAGUAGUUUUAUAAGCAGCUCAAGUAUAAUUUAAAAAUUAAAUCAGAGUGUACCUUUUGCAUAAUGGGUCAGCAAGUUAAUUUUAGAUGCAAGAUAAUAUAGUUAAAGUAAUUUAACUUCAUGUCCUAGAUAAACCAAUUAUUAAAUAAUGAAUAAGUAUCUAACGUUAGACCCGAAGCCUAGUGAUCUUACCAUGAUCAGGAUUAUAAAAGUCCGAACGGCUUACCGUUGUAAUGGUAUCCGAUGAAUUGUGGUAAGUUAGUGAAAGACAAAACUGACUAGGAUAGCUGGUUUUCUGCGAAACCUAUAUAAGUAGGUGGUUCGAAUAACAUCAUAGCAGGUACAGUAUUGUAAUCCCAGGCAAGCUUAGAGAACAAUUAAUUAUAUCAAUUAAAAGUAAUCUGUUUGCAUACAUUGGGGGAUCGUGAAGAUUUUAUCAGUGGGAAUUUGCUCUCGGAAGGGCAAUGAUGUAUUUUGAACUCUCAGACAUAGUACGAUAAGGUUGUAUGUCUAAAGGGAAACAGCCCAGAAUAAGAAUUAAAGGUUCCAAAAUCAUUGUUAAGUGAAAAUAAGGAAGUAUUUUUCGAACACAACCAGUAAAUAGGCUUAGAAGCGGCCAUUUUUUAAAGAUCUCGUAACAGAGCACUGGUUAAAGGUUUGUAUCAUGUAAAUGAUGCUUGCUCUUAAGUUUAAAGCUCCGAAAAUUUAACGGAUCUAAACAAUGUACCGAUAUCUUAUCUAUAGAUAAAUGACAUAGUUAUAACAACAUAUUGAAAUUUAUCUAUGGGGUAGCAGAACAUUGGGUAAAUGUAAAAUGUUAUAUUUUUAAUAUAACAUAUUUCGCAGUUUAUUUACGUGAAUCAUAAUCCCAAUAGAGAAUGCUGGCAUGAGUAACGAAAAAGGGAUAACCCCUCGCCUUAAGCUUAUGGUAUUUUUUUAAGUAACGGCCCCUAAAUUUAUAAACUUUCCUAAAGGAUUUAAUGAUGGGCAAACACCGUGAUAGUUUUCUCAUAUGGAAUUACGUCACGGGCGAUGUUAUUUAGUUAACUCGUUCUUAUGUAUAUUUUACAACAUUUAGCGAAAAAAAAUAAAGAAAUAGGUCCCAGAUCCAUUUUUCUUCAAUAUUUUCAUAGUUAUAAGUGUUCUGGAAAAAGAUAUACAAAAAAUCAAACCGUACCUAGAUACUACCACAAGUAAGCAAGUAGAGAAUACAAAGGCGUUUGAGAUAACAAUCAUUAAGGAACUCGGCAAAUUGACUCCGUAACUUCGGGAUAAGGUGUGCCAUUAUUCCUUAUAAAUAUUAAGGUAAAUAAUAGGAAGCAUAAAAUAGUGUUGUACGACUGUUUAAUUAAAACAAAGCACUUUGCAUAAGAUGUAAAAUCAAAGUAUUGAGUGUGAUUUCUGCCCGAUGUUGGUAGGUUAACGGAUUUUCUUAGUUAUUAUAUAAGGCUAGGUUUUGAAGGAAACCCCAAUCAAUGGCGGCCUUACCGAUGAGGGUCCUAAGGUAGCGGAAUACCCUGGCCGUUAAAUGCGGUCUUGCAUGAAUGAUUUAACGAUACAACAGCUGUCUCGAUGAUUGUCUCAGUGAAAUUGGAAUAACUGUGCAGAUACAGUUUACCUCUAGUUAGACGAGAAGACCCUAUGCAGCUUUACUGUUGCUAGCAAUUGAAUAUGUAUAGAUAAGUUUUAGCGUAUAAGGUAGUUGAUGAGAUACAGUUGAAACACCUUUACUUUUUUUAUCAUAUUAAUAAGAAUCAUAAAAUAGUAACACAGUAGCUCUACUAUUUACCACCAUCCUAUCUCUCUAACAAGAUUAGAAUAAGAAGUGCGUAUGAUCAUUUGGCAUCUUAGUUCUCGUAAGAGGCGAAGGAUGUUAUAAUGCUAAAUGCUACCGAAGAUAGUUAUAGAGGGUGUAGCUGUGUGAACUGGUUUCGGGGGUGGACACCUGUAGAAGAUUAGAGCGUUUGGUAAACAAAUGCAGUUUAAUUGAAAAUUUAUGUACCUUAUUUCAAACGAUUAAAAGCUGUACUUGAUGCAGUUAGAAAACAUUUGCUAGUGGAUAGUUUAUGCGGGGCACAGAUCCCAUAAAUAGUACCUGGGUGUAUCCAAAGUUAAUUUUGUAAUUUCGAUAAACAUGUGUGCAAAUAACACACAUAUUUGUUGAACUAUUGUAUACUAUAGUAUUAUAAAUACUUGUAUGCAUAUUUUAAUCUGCCAUAAAUAACAAUGUUAUUUAUUCAGUUAUCAUCCUAUUGAGUUAGAUUAAUUAUUUUUUUUUAGUAAGAUUUUAACUAUAUGGAAAAUAGACGUAGUAUUUAGUUUUUCAGAUGAAAAAAGCUGAAUGAUAUUGAUAUAUAUUUUAAAAGUUUAAUGGCUUAAUCUU
rnacentral:rRNA from 1 species